rnacentral:lncRNA from 1 species
UCGGAUAUGAACGAGGUUGCGUCUUGUACUUUCUUUCUAGUUAUGCGAUGAUUAUGUGUGCUGUACUAAAUUGUUGUGAUCAUCAGGAAUUGGAUAGGCAUGUUCUUGUUCAGGCAAGUUCCCUUGAUGGAUGAAAUGGAUGACAAGGUCAGUUCUCUGGCCACCGUCAUUUUUUAUAUUUCUUCUGACAGUUGUCUCAACAAUGCUUAAUGUCUGAUAAAACGAUAAAUACAGGUGGAUAGAGCCAAUGCAGAUCUGAAGAAUAUACCAACGUGAGGCUAAAACAGACUAUUCUUCAGGUAAAAGCUUAAAAGCUUAAGAGUCCUUUUAUAGUACAUCAAAUCAUUCCGAGCCUUUUAUUUUUGUGAUUAAAUGGCCCAGAUACGACAAUACUGCACAUGAAUUCGUGUAGUAUAUUUAGGCGUCAAGGGCACUUUGGGCAGUUCUUAAUCAACUUUUCAUGUACUGGACGGCAUAGCUAGUAAUUACCCCGUUAGCACUCGACAAGAACGUCAGCUCGCAGCACUUACUCGUCACUAGUUUAGUAAUUCUUCCAAGGUAUGUCAAUGUACUAGUAUCAGAAAUAACCAGGGGCAUCUAAGUUUUCUGCUCCCCUGGUGUGAUAGCAGAAAGAAAAACAAAUCAUCUAUGCGCUGGUGUGGUGGGAGAGACAGCGUCAGCCCUGUCCCUAUGGAUGCACCUGGCAGCGGACCACGUGUGCCGUGGAGCCGACGAGCUAGCAGGCUGCCGGAUGGGAUCUCCAGUGCUGCACCACCAGCAAUCUCGCGUGGAUGAUGACCUCCAUCACCGGGGGGAGCACAAGCUCGUUGAUAGAGGUCUUCACUCGCAAUGCCGGUGGCUGCGCAAGGUCUCCACGUUCAUACGCUGCUCGUGGAGGGUAAACUGCAUAGGCAUUUUGUUAAUUUUAUUUGAGAUUUUCCUUAAAAUGGAAGGUCGGAUAAUCGAAUUUUCACAGAAUGAGUCACUUGAUGUAAGUCUCAAAUGAUGUCCCUACGCCGCAUUCAGUUGUAAGAGUAGAGACAAACAGAAAUUGCUUGCCAUAAAAGUGUGUCAAGAGACUUGUUUUGUUGUACCCGAAUAUUAAUCUAAUACUAU